UUUUAAAAGCACUUCAAAGAAUAAUCAUUUUGACACGCUAAGAACACACCUUCAAUUCUUGCUUUUACCUCUGCUUUGCCAUGUGAGCCUCUACCUGACCGUGGAAGUAGGUAAUAAUGCAGUUCACAGACGAAUGAGUUUUUACCGCAUGUCAGCUUGGAAUAUUGGCAACUACUAGCAUCGAAAUAAAUGCCGGUGCGUCGUAUAGAAAAUACAGCUUCAGCAGUGUGACUGGCUGGAGAAUCCAUGAUAAUGUAAAUAAGACGCCCUUCUGUGCCUUGAUAAAAUUUCGAUAUUAAAAAUAAACUGAGAACUCAACGUGACGUGAGUAACGACGCUAUCGAUAAAAGGAGUGCUCAGGGGGGUACCAAUUCUAUAAACAGUGUCCGGAACCUAAAGACUUCCCUUAUCCUGGCCAACCUGCCGAGUUUCAUGACGACAAUCUGAAAGCCCUUCUCAGGGAAGAUAAGCCGACAGACAGCUCGGGAGUUGGCCGACAAGGGGAUAUUGAUCUUUUUUGCGUUUUUCUUCACUAUACGUGUAGAAUGCCAAAGAGUUCGAGCCAGCUCGCUCAAUAUGCGGUGAGUGGCGUUCCGGAGCCUUCAGCGAAGGCCCAUCACGGCCUUCGGUCGUUGCGGAAUGCAGAAGCAUGUCACAUCUUCUAUUCGACCCUAUGACGUUACUGCUUCUUCCAUAGCUCGGGUAGCUUUCGCAAGGCGGAACCUUCGAUACAACGUUUGAAGUAAAUCAUCAUCGUUGAAGGUAUCUGACGAGCGGCUAAUCCCUGCUGUAGAUACGAACCAGUUCAUGUGCAGGUUGCGCGUCGGAACGUAGCGAGAUCACUGAUCCAGUACUAAGUGCACAGAGGGAUCCUCAGCCUUUUUGGUCCAGUAUUGGAUUUCGCAUCACUCGAAUGCCAACCUCAUCGUUGAACCGGAGCACAUGUGCGUACACAUGCGAUAAAUUCCAAGGGGCUUUAUCUAAUCCUAUGAUUCAAGAUGCAUCAACUUCGAAAUGGCUCCCGACCUCUUCACACACCCCAACAACUAAAGCGAUGAAGCUUAAGCGACUCAGUAUCGAGUAGGCGAG